UCUCCGUUGGUGAACCAGCGGAGGGAUCAUUAUCGAGUUUAUAACUCCCAAACCCUAUGUGAACUUACCACUUGUUGCUUCGGCGCGCGCUUCGGUGCCGCCGAGGACACUUAAACUCUUUGUUUUUAUAAGCAUUUCUGAGUGGCCGAAAGGCAAAAUACAAAUGAAUCAAAACUUCCAACAACGGAUCUCUUGGUUCUG
rnacentral:misc_RNA from 1 species